UGCACCGCGUUAUACAGACGGUAAAUCCUCAGUCCGAUCCGUCCCGACUGCAGUCCGUGCGAGAGUCCGGGUCGGCCUUAUCUCUGGGGCCGCAUGCUACCUGCCGGGAGCGCAUACACCAGGUACCGAAUCAAGUGUGUGCGCCGCAGCCCGGCCCGCACCUCCAGUGUCCCGGGGCGAACAGGGUGAAGGCGGGUCAUGGAAGGUCACAGCGGUGUCAGAGCCGGCACACGGCUGCCAGGGAGAAGGCGACUAGGUGCGAGACCAGGGCCGGCCGCUCAAGGCCCGGAGUUACGGAGCAGAUCCCGGACUUGUCUCUAGCGGCGGUCGGAUCUGGGCCGUUCAGGGGCCAGAGGCUACCCAACUCGCUUGUCGGUUCUCUCGCCGUGAGCAGGGUAUCGGUCCCGGGUCGGCCUCGGUAUCCGCUCUCCUAUUCGCACAGUCCCCCUGCUCCAAACUCCGGGCUCUCCCAGCUCGGAGGCUCCACACCCUGGGACGUACCACUGCAGCCCACAAGGAGGGGGAGGCGGGAAGGCCCAACCUGCACGUCACACACAGAAAAGGCAACUUCCGACGACCCGCCCAGUAACUGCCACCCCCCGCAUCAGCAAGUGCCCCGAGACAGCGCAGCCGGUUAUUUUAUAGAAACGCGGGGCCCGCGAGCGUCGUUCCCGCUGCCUCCCCCCCAGCGCCGCCUGUGAGAUGCCGCCUCCCACAGCUCCAAACCAUUUAUAGUAACGUCUCCUGCUUUGUGACUCUAGGACGAAGCACAUCAUUGAAACAAUGGAGCGGCACACAGGUGGUGACACCGACAGCCUGCUGCCGGCUCAACACCAGGGUUAAGGAGUAGAGCCCAGGCCUACUGAAAAGUGAGGGGGACCCGUCACCAAUACCCCCC